GGGUUGUGAGGUUAAGCGACUAAGCGUACACGGUGGAUGCCCUGGCAGUCAGAGGCGAUGAAGGGCGUGCUAAUCUGCGAUAAGCGCCGGUAAGGUGAUAUGAACCGUUAUAACCGGCGAUACCCGAAUGGGGAAACCCAGUGUGACUCGUCACACUAUCAUUAACUGAAUCCAUAGGUUAAUGAGGCGAACCGGGGGAACUGAAACAUCUAAGUACCCCGAGGAAAAGAAAUCAACCGAGAUUCCCCCAGUAGCGGCGAGCGAACGGGGAGGAGCCCAGAGCCUGAAUCAGCAUGUGUGUUAGUGGAAGCGUCUGGAAAGGCGCGCGAUACAGGGUGACAGCCCCGUACACAAAAGCGCAUGUGCUGUGAGCUCGAUGAGUAGGGCGGGACACGUGGUAUCCUGUCUGAAUAUGGGGGGACCAUCCUCCAAGGCUAAAUACUCCUGACUGACCGAUAGUGAACCAGUACCGUGAGGGAAAGGCGAAAAGAACCCCGGCGAGGGGAGUGAAAAAGAACCUGAAACCGUGUACGUACAAGCAGUGGGAGCACAGGUUUACCUGUGUGACUGCGUACCUUUUGUAUAAUGGGUCAGCGACUUAUAUUCUGUAGCAAGGUUAACCGUAUAGGGGAGCCGGAGGGAAACCGAGUCUUAAUUGGGCGUUAAGUUGCAGGGUAUAGACCCGAAACCCGGUGAUCUAGCCAUGGGCAGGUUGAAGGUUGGGUAACACUAACUGGAGGACCGAACCGACUAAUGUUGAAAAAUUAGCGGAUGACCUGUGGCUGGGGGUGAAAGGCCAAUCAAACCGGGAGAUAGCUGGUUCUCCCCGAAAGCUAUUUAGGUAGCGCCUCGUGAAUUCAUCUCCGGGGGUAGAGCACUGUUUCGGCUAGGGGGCCAUCCCGGCUUACCAACCCGAUGCAAACUGCGAAUACCGGAGAAUGUUAUCACGGGAGACACACGGCGGGUGCUAACGUCCGUCGUGAAGAGGGAAACAACCCAGACCGCCAGCUAAGGUCCCAAAGUCAUGGUUAAGUGGGAAACGAUGUGGGAAGGCCCAGACAGCCAGGAUGUUGGCUUAGAAGCAGCCAUCAUUUAAAGAAAGCGUAAUAGCUCACUGGUCGAGUCGGCCUGCGCGGAAGAUGUAACGGGGCUAAACCAUGCACCGAAGCUGCGGCAGCGACGCUUAUGCGUUGUUGGGUAGGGGAGCGUUCUGUAAGCCUGUGAAGGUGGCCUGUGAGGGUUGCUGGAGGUAUCAGAAGUGCGAAUGCUGACAUAAGUAACGAUAAAGCGGGUGAAAAGCCCGCUCGCCGGAAGACCAAGGGUUCCUGUCCAACGUUAAUCGGGGCAGGGUGAGUCGACCCCUAAGGCGAGGCCGAAAGGCGUAGUCGAUGGGAAACGGGUUAAUAUUCCCGUACUUGGUGUUACUGCGAAGGGGGGACGGAGAAGGCUAUGUUGGCCGGGCGACGGUUGUCCCGGUUUAAGCGUGUAGGUGUGUGUUCCAGGUAAAUCCGGUUCACUUUAACACUGAGGCGUGACGACGAGGCACUACGGUGCUGAAGCAACAAAUGCCCUGCUUCCAGGAAAAGCCUCUAAGCAUCAGGUAACAUCAAAUCGUACCCCAAACCGACACAGGUGGUCAGGUAGAGAAUACCAAGGCGCUUGAGAGAACUCGGGUGAAGGAACUAGGCAAAAUGGUGCCGUAACUUCGGGAGAAGGCACGCUGACAUGUAGGUGAAGUGAUUUACUCAUGGAGCUGAAGUCAGUCGAAGAUACCAGCUGGCUGCAACUGUUUAUUAAAAACACAGCACUGUGCAAACACGAAAGUGGACGUAUACGGUGUGACGCCUGCCCGGUGCCGGAAGGUUAAUUGAUGGGGUCAGCGCAAGCGAAGCUCCUGAUCGAAGCCCCGGUAAACGGCGGCCGUAACUAUAACGGUCCUAAGGUAGCGAAAUUCCUUGUCGGGUAAGUUCCGACCUGCACGAAUGGCGUAAUGAUGGCCAGGCUGUCUCCACCCGAGACUCAGUGAAAUUGAACUCGCUGUGAAGAUGCAGUGUACCCGCGGCAAGACGGAAAGACCCCGUGAACCUUUACUAUAGCUUGACACUGAACAUUGAGCCUUGAUGUGUAGGAUAGGUGGGAGGCUUUGAAGUGUGGACGCCAGUCUGCAUGGAGCCGACCUUGAAAUACCACCCUUUAAUGUUUGAUGUUCUAACGUGGACCCGUAAUCCGGGUUGCGGACAGUGUCUGGUGGGUAGUUUGACUGGGGCGGUCUCCUCCUAAAGAGUAACGGAGGAGCACGAAGGUUGGCUAAUCCUGGUCGGACAUCAGGAGGUUAGUGCAAUGGCAUAAGCCAGCUUGACUGCGAGCGUGACGGCGCGAGCAGGUGCGAAAGCAGGUCAUAGUGAUCCGGUGGUUCUGAAUGGAAGGGCCAUCGCUCAACGGAUAAAAGGUACUCCGGGGAUAACAGGCUGAUACCGCCCAAGAGUUCAUAUCGACGGCGGUGUUUGGCACCUCGAUGUCGGCUCAUCACAUCCUGGGGCUGAAGUAGGUCCCAAGGGUAUGGCUGUUCGCCAUUUAAAGUGGUACGCGAGCUGGGUUUAGAACGUCGUGAGACAGUUCGGUCCCUAUCUGCCGUGGGCGCUGGAGAACUGAGGGGGGCUGCUCCUAGUACGAGAGGACCGGAGUGGACGCAUCACUGGUGUUCGGGUUGUCAUGCCAAUGGCACUGCCCGGUAGCUAAAUGCGGAAGAGAUAAGUGCUGAAAGCAUCUAAGCACGAAACUUGCCCCGAGAUGAGUUCUCCCUGAGACUUAGAGUCUCCUGAAGGAACGUUGAAGACGACGACGUUGAUAGGCCGGGUGUGUAAGCGCAGCGAUGCGUUGAGCUAACCGGUACUAAUGAACCGUGAGGCUUAACCUUACAACGCCGAAG
rnacentral:rRNA from 1 species